UACGAAGGGGGCUAGCGUUGCUCGGAAUCACUGGGCGUAAAGGGUGCGUAGGCGGGUCUUUAAGUCAGAGGUGAAAUCCUGGAGCUCAACUCCAGAACUGCCUUUGAUACUGAGGAUCUUGAGUUCGGGAGAGGUGAGUGGAACUGCGAGUGUAGAGGUGAAAAUUCGUAGAUAUUCGCAAGAACACCAGUGGCGAAGGCGGCUCACUGGCCCGAUACUGACGCUGAGGCACGAAAGCGUGGGGAGCAAACAGGG
rnacentral:rRNA from 1 species